rnacentral:lncRNA from 1 species
GGUGUUGGUGGUGAUGGGAAUUGGGGGCAAUUGUGUGAAUGAAAAAUUAAACAAGAAUUACUGUAGCAUGAAGGAAAGGUAACAGAGGGUCUACCCCGUUUCUCUUUCAGCUAUCGAACAGUGUUUUGGACCGGGCCCAAAGUCAAUUAGCGGGCUGCUGCUUUUCGGAAGGUUGAAUAUCAAACAUUGAGUAGACGGCUUAUAUCUAAGUAAUAUGCCUUUAACUAACUAAUCAAACUAGC